GAGGCAAGCGCCUUGCUCAGGCCGCUUCUGAGAACGAGCAUGGCGCGGCUUCGGCACUGAGAAAAGCAGCCAGCCGAGUCCUUUGUGAGACUUCUCUGAAGUCUUCCCGAGUGGAAAAAAGCGGCUCCUGGACCACUGGCGAACUCAGGCAGGGGCGGGACUCGGCGGGGUCAGCCCCACCCCGGCGCGGGAGGCGCGACAGGUCCCGCAGUUGGCGUCUUUCUCUUCGGCGCUGAGCCUCGGUCCCCCUUGGUUUCCUGAAACGUUCUUGCCCCAGACGUUAGAGAGACAAGCUGUGUUGCCCAGGCUAGUCGUGAACUCCUGGGCUUAAGCAAUCCACCAGCCUCAGCCUCCCAAAAGCGCUGGAAUUACAGGAACAGCAAAGCAAAGAGUGGACCUGAAGUGAUAUCUUUGAAUUUUGGAGGAAAAAAAACAAACCUAAAGAGAUGGUUUUAUUUUUCCUAAAUAUCCAGAAUGAAAACCUAUACUGAAAAAUGAAAAUCUAUACUGAAAGCCAAAAUUGGAUGACUCUUUACCAUACUUCCAAAUAUGAAACACUG